rnacentral:misc_RNA from 1 species
GAUGAAGAACGCAGCAAAAUGCGAUACUUGGUGUGAAUUGCAGAAUCCCGUGAACCAUCGAGUUUUUGAACGCAAGUUGCGCCCGAAGCCUUUUGGCCGAGGGCACGUCUGCCUGGGCGUCACGCAUCGCGUCGCCCCCCACAAUUCUCCGUAAAGGGAACAUGUGUUUUGGGGGCGGAUAUUGGUCUCCCGUGCUCAUGGCGUGGUUGGCCGAAAUAGGAGUCCUUUCGAUGGACGCACGAACUAGUGGUGGUCGUAAAAACCCUCGUCUUUUGUUUCGUGCUGUUGGUCGCAAGGUAAACUCUUUAAAAACCCCAAUGUGUCGUCUCUUGACGACGCUUCGACCGCGACCCCAGGUCAGGCGGGACUACCCGCUGAGUUUAAGCAUAUCAAUAACGGAGGA